CCUUCCCCAGCUUUGGGGCCACAGAGGGACAGAAACCGCAGGCAGGCUGGCCUGGGAAUGAACCUACACCAGCCUGAAGUCAGAAGAGCCUCUAGGAGCCUCCAGCCUGGACUCUUUUUACAGAUGGGGAAACUGAGUCCCAGAGAGGGAGCAAUGAAGGAUGUCUAAGGUCAUCAGCAACGUAAAGCCAACAGCAUCAUCCUGAGUCAUGUUUGAACCUGAGGGAAAGAAACAUAUGUUCGAAGAGGUUCUGAGGCUGCUGCACCCGAUAUCAUACCUGGUUGGCCCUGGGAAAGGGCCCACCUCCAAUACAUAAACACAACCAGCUUUGACAGUGAGCCCUGAAGCAUGGCAUUGAGAAGCUGCCUAAGAAGGAGGCAGAUCCAUCAGCCUGGGUGCCCGACUGAUUACCCUGAGCAGAGCUCCCCAGCCCACCUGUGAUGGACGCAUGGAGCUUGAGCAAGGAAUAAAUAUUCGUUGCUGGACUCUGAUUACACUGGACCUAUCCAAGAUCUGAGAUCAUCAACUCAUCUCAAAAUCCUUAAGCUGACCACAGCAGCAUCGUCCCUUUUGCAGUGUAAGGGAGCCCAGCUGGGACAAUGUGUGAAUCAACGCAUGAAGGAGUGAGUGAGCAGCUAACCAAAUGAAAGAAUACUCAGAUAUCUGGGGUACAGUUCCCCUCCAGGUUUGCACAGCAUCUGCUGAAGUCUCCACUAGAAACUCAAUGGAAGGUCCCCACCGGAAACUGAAAGUCUCCUAGAGUGGCUUUGAGUUGCGGUUUCACCCUCCCUGCAGAUCCACAGGGGAGGCUGGGGCAGAUGGAAAAUACCAACUUGAUGGUCUGUGGCCACACCAUGCUGCUCCCCAAGGCCCCUCAGAAUUUCACUGCCCAAUAUGGUAGCGCCCAGCCUGAAACGUGGCCAGUGUGAAUUGAGAUGGGCUGGAAAUGCACCAGACUUCCAAGAGCUGGACAAAAACCAUAUACGUAAAGUAUCUUUGUUUUACAUAUUUGUACUGAUGACACAAUGAAAUCAUAUUUAGGGUAUUUUCUGUUACAUAAAAUACAUUACUAAAAUUAA
rnacentral:lncRNA from 10 species